rnacentral:misc_RNA from 1 species
AUGUCAGUUAUGUCAUUUCGAUUUGCCUUUCAUUAUUAGUUUGGUAAUCUGUGCAUUACGCUUUCAUUGUAGUUGCUGUAGUUGUUUGAUCAGUUGUCAAACAAUCCCAUGGUGCAUGAAGGUUUGCUAAAAAACGUGAAUAGGAUCAUGUAAACUGGAUGCAUUCGGUUUAGAAUCGCCUUCAUAAUUCUUCCAAUCAUUGUGCAUUUUUUUCGAUAUUUAAACAUCAGCGAAAUUUAAUUGGACAGCCGUGUUUCACAACUUUAAGCCGCAAGAAUGGCGGUUCUCGCGGCAGCACAGCUUCUAGAUGAGCUUAUGGGGCGACAUCGAAAUGUUGCUCCAAAUGAAAAAGUUAAAUCCACGGAUUGGGAGGACCCUGAGUUUUGCAAGUUUUUUAUGGUGAAGUUCUGUCCUCAUGAUCUCUUUGUAAAUACACGCGCUGAUCUAGGUCCAUGCAUCAAAACGCAUGAUGAAGAAGCUAAAAAGCUAUUUCAAGAUGCGAAAAAAAAUCACCACAAAAAAAUACAAUAUCAAGAAGAUUUCAUUAGAUUUUGUUCGUCAAUGAUAAAUGAAGUAGAAAAAAAAAUAAUAAAAGGCCGACAACGUCUAGCUUUAAGUGGAAAAAACGUGUUGGCUGUUACGAACCCACAACAAGCCGAAAAAAAUCAAGAACAAAUAAACAUCUUAAAUGAACGAAUAAACGAGUUGGAGAAAGAGGCCGAAGAGGCUGGGACGGAUGGAAAUGUAGAACAAGCUCAAGGCCUCAUGAAGCUCUGCGAUCAGCUAAAAGAGGAAAGAGACGCCCUUAAAAAGGCCGAACUAGGACAUUUAAAUCUUACUGCGCAGUUAGCUGUUGAACAAGAGAAACAAAUGGAGGUUUGUGAAGUGUGUGGAGCUUUCCUAAUUGUAGGUGAUGCGCAACAAAGAAUCGACGAUCAUUUAAUGGGGAAACAACAUAUGGGAUAUAUGCGAUUAAAAAAAGCAUUAGAAGAGAUAAUAGAAGUUGUGAAAGAAGCCAAAGAACCGAAAAAGUAUAUCAGAGAUAAAGAAAGAGAGAGAUUCAACGAUAGAGAUACAAGACGGGAUAGAGAAAAGGAUAAGGUUAACGCACGUGAAAGGGACCGAAGCCGGUCAGAGUUGGGGGAGAAGGAUCGACGCAUGGACACGGAGCGAAAGAAUAAAGAGAGAGACAGGGAACGGGAACAAGUUAGAGAUGUGGAGUUGCGGGAUGGAAAACGGGAGAGGGAUCGCGAACGAGAGAGACGACACCGCUCUGACCGAGAAGAUCGUCAUAGGCACCAUCAUCACCAUCACUCUCACAGGCACCGACACUAAUCGUCACCAAUCUUGUAGUUGACCAGUAAGACCAUCUAUACAGGUAGGUGAUAUUUUAUAUAAACUGAUAAUUAAUAUUCUCUUUCAGGCUCUGAACAGGUUAGUGAUUUAAUAAUUUAUAAUAAAAUUGUUCCCUGCUAAUAUCUUCGGGUUUAUGGCAAUGUUUGCAUAUACACUGAUAAUCGACUUAUUUGAUGUUUUUAUUCAUAUAAGUAUUAUUUCUGAAGGCGAACAUUUUUUGCAUAGUGUAAAUUCGGUGUUUUUAUUAUAGUUAUUAUUAUUAAUUAUUAAAGUAUAUUGAUAGUUGAAGUAAAGUAAAUUCGAAAAAUCGUAACGGAAAACGACAAUGAAGAAUUUUAAAACGGUUUUUUAAAAAUGGAAUUAAGUAAUUCAUUUAUUCGCAGAUUGCAAAUGUUACUUUGACUAUAUAAGGCAAACAUUGCGAACCGUUAUUGUGUUUGGUGAGCUGUAGAGAAGUGUUGCAAACAGCUUCAUCUGAUUAAUGAUCUCACAUGGAACAUAUGCAUUUACUUUUUGUUUCUUAAGUACUUUACAUUUUUGACGCGAAAACUCUCAUAUCAGCCAGUCAUGGAAAGAAAGUCACGAUAGGUACGAAAAUUUAACGUAUUUUUGUCAUCCAAAUAACAUAAACGCAUACUUUUCAUGUCACAAACUAGUUUGCCAUGGUAAGAUAAUUCAUCAGAUUAUGUUUGGUAUCGAAUUCUGAAUCAGUAAUUAGUGUAGUGGAUAAUAAAGUUUAAAUAGUUGUUUUAUAGCAUCUGAUAUAAUGGACAUUUUUCUACUUUUUUUUCAAUUUUUAAAGUGUUUUUGUUGAUUAUCCUCACAUUUACUACUAAAAUCAAGAUCAAUCAAAUUCUUGUUUUCUGGUAUGUAUGCACAUUUCAGGUAGAACGAGCUAAAAACUACAACUUACCUAUUUACAUAUGUUUUAUUAAUUUAUAGUUAUGGUUCUGAAUAUUCCACCAUAUGGCCCUCUAAAUUCGAAAUUUUCUAUAGGUAAAAGAUGAAAUUCGACAAAGGGUUAAACCAUAUUUUAGUUUUGUUUUACUUUUCUUAAGUCAUUUUAAUCGGAUGUUAUAAACAAUUAUCUUAACUGAUUAUCAUUUAAAGUUAAAAUAAGGCUCACCAUAACACACGCCUGUAUGAAGAUACUUUAAUGACAACAGAACAUUUAAUUAAUUCUCCCAAAGGUAUUUUGUAACAAAAACUGUUGGCAUAUUCGGGUUUAUUUAAAUCUUGAAAAGGUGGUGCGUGAUAUAGUGUUCAAAAUCACGUAUGGUGAACAGGUUUUGUGGUUUAUGUCUAACUGAUUGUGUGAUGUAUACCAAUUUAUUUGCAAACUAUCAUAGUCGACAUGGUCAGUCAUUGCCAAAAAUGUGUCUUAUAAGUUUUCAGCAGUGAAACAUCCCAACAAUGCUGCAAACAGUUGGCAACACUGUACGCUCAAUUUUUUGUACUUUUCUACUUUUGCAAUGAGAGGUAUUUAUAGCUUAAGUUUAAAAUUUUAAUAUUUCAAAGCUGAUAGCUCAAUAUCAACGGGUACCUACCACUCUAGUUGACCCUCAUUAUGUGUUUCAUCGUCAAUUGUAAACGAGUUAGCAACAGGUGAGCUCACAAUUAAUCUUGAGAACCGAUGUUAGGACUUUGGAUGACUUUCCAUGGCCACCAUAUCUGAUAUAUGUCCUCAACUGAAAUACUUCCCAGAUGCCAUUUAACAUCAUGUAGUUCAGGUGACCUAGCUUGUAAAUUUUUUAAAUUAGUUCUUUGAUUCCCAUUGCUGGAUAAUUGCCUCUCCCCGUUUUGUGACUGUAGGUUUUACAAAUUGAAAAAUAUUACAAUUUUGUUUAAACCAUUUUGAUAUUUAAUUGCUGUUUAGUAUCAAGAGAUUUCAACACACGGUCAAACUUUCAGUCACAUAUGUUUUUAAAUGUAUAAUAAAACUUCUAAGUAGUAUUAGUAAUUGCCUAAUUUCUGUAAAUGAACUUCAUAUCGAAGGAUUAAAAAAAUAAACGAUUUUCGCCAAAAA